UAACCUGCCCAAGAGAUCGGGAUAACACCUGGAAACAGAUGCUAAUACCGGAUAACAACAGAUGAUGCCUAUCAACUGUUUAAAAGAUGGUUCUGCUAUCACUCUUGGAUGGACCUGCGGUGCAUUAGCUAGUUGGUAGGGUAACGGCCUACCAAGGCGAUGAUGCAUAGCCGAGUUGAGAGACUGAUCGGCCACAUUGGGACUGGGACACGGCCCAAACUCCUACGGGAGGCAGCAGAU
rnacentral:rRNA from 1 species